CUCACAGUAAAUUUGUGGCAGAAAUGUUCCCAAGUAUUCCCUAAGCAGGAAUAAAGUGGACUAAACAUUGCUAGGUAGUUUGUGGGUGCAGAAGAGUAGUUAAAAA